rnacentral:tRNA from 1 species
GAGGGUGUAGCUCAGUGGUGGAGUGUGUGCUUAGCAUGCACGAGGCCCUGGGUUCCAUCCCCAGUCCCUCCA